UUGUUCAUGUAAUGAUGAUGGGCCCCAUUGUUAUAUGAGCCCACCUAAAGGUGGUCAAAUGAUAUUCACAGAAGAUUAACUCUGCACUAAGCAUUCUUUGAGUGAUGAUAUAACUGGGGUAUUGAAAUGGUCCCUUUUCCUUUGCUUGAAGUUAUCAAUUGUAAAUUAUGGAAAUAGCGAUUCAUGAUCUCAGUAGCUACUUUAUUUGUUAAUGAUGCUGGUAACUUCGUGUAUGGAAUGGUACAAACGUUUUGAAUGGACAUUGUAUAACGGAAUAUGUACGUAUGACCAUUAACAUUGGAGUGAUUGGACUAAAAACGUACUGUAUUCUACGAAAAUGGAAAACAAGCGAGAGGAAAAACACAAUCCAUGUCUUGAGUUAUAUGACCAGGUAAUUUCCUAACCCUGGAAUCCGUUACUAUACUACCAAGUAUUUGCAGCUGCUGGAAUCCGAUACUACAAUCGUUGAAGAUCGAAGAUCGCUAUUGGAGCCAGUGUCCUUCUGCCAGAAAUAAAGUGGAAGAUCACAUUCACUGACUUAAAUGGUUCAGCCCGUCGGCCUGUUGUGCAUACUUUUGGUCCUUAACUUGAAGUUCCAAGCACCUAUCAGUGCUAAAUGAAGUAGCGGAAGAUUCUUUAUCCAUUCUUCGCGAGAAAAGUUCAUGGACGUUCGAUAUUGUCUAGUGAGGACGUUAAAGUCAUAUCUACACAUCUAAGUUCCCGUUUGCACUAUACCGGAUUGCUAUCGUAGCAGGUUGAAUAUUCUUUAUAUUAAAAGGCAGGGAAAUUGUUCAAUGUCAGAAACACAAUCAAAUGGACUAAAUCUAUCAGCUUAAUAGGCUUUUACUCCGAGCAGUUACCCCUUAAAAGCAAAUGAAGAUGUCGUGAUCAGCGAAUACGGUAUAGUGUAAACGCAGCCUAAAUAUUAUAUGACAUUCCGAUAUUGUAUUUGCUGUUUGUGGUGAAAACCAUAAUAUACUGUUGAAACAAUUAUUUCACCAACUGAUUGAUUUAUUAUUUGUAUUUUGUAGAAACUAUAAAUAUCUGCUUUAGUUAGCUUUCAGUCUGGGUUUUUUUGCAACAACCAUGUAGGAUUUUGUCAUCACUUCCUUAACAGUAUUGUAACGUAUAAAAGUGCUUGUAGUUUUGUUUUAAUAAUUUCUACUAAUGUAAUAUUGUAUUGCUUCUUCGA